UCCGGAUCUCGAAUGGCUGGUAGCUGAAACAGGACGCGCAUGGCAACUGAAACGGGCCAGGGAAGUUGCUACGGAUGUCCAGUUCCUCGAGCACGGGACAGAUGACGGCAAGGUGCUCCAUAGAGAACAUCGCGGGCUUCAGUGCACACGGUGCCAGUGACAGGGCCCUUAGGUGCGUCAGUGCCGAACGUUCGGCGAUGGAAGGGAACGUAAGAUUAAUGGGGAAAUGGAACUCGUUCAAGUUGAGCUCUGUGAUCGCGCUGAAGGCUGUGAAGAAACAGCACAGGUAUUCGGCGAUCGCAUUAGGAACGAACAUCAGCAGAUGUUCCGGAGGCGUGUGUUCUACGAUGGCCUUCGGAAUUGAGACGAGUGUCAGAGCUCGGAUGUGGUUGAAUGUGUACGCUUCAGCAAGCCUCUUAAGCUUAGCCGCGGCAGUCUGCGUUGCGUGCACCGUCAGAACCAUUCGAGAUGUUCGUGGCGCUGGGAUGAGGCCCAACAGGAGCUGAUCCAAGUCGACGAUGGUGCUGAAGCACAGAGGUCCCUGCCAGUAGUAAGUCACGUUUCCGCACAAGACCAGAUGGGCGAACAACCUCUCAUGAA